AUGGCAACGGUGUGGAAUUUACCAGAGUUGCGUUCUAUGGUGAACUCUGGGAAAGAAUGGCUCCUUCAGGCUUUGGAACCGUUGGAUCACCUUGCAAGAUGUAAGCUACUAAUGACCCUGUGGAGAAUCUGGUAUAUUCGUAAUGAAAUUAUACAUAAUAAACCAGCCCCUCCACUUGAUGUCUCCGCUCUUCUUCGGAGCUAUUUGGACUCAAUUAUUGGUCUCAAGAUGAAUUCAGAGGCUGAUCCACGCAAAGGAAAAACUGUCAUCACAUACAACUCGGAUGCCGGUUCCAGUUCUGUUCCGGCCGUUGUACCCUGGAAACCUCCUACCCAUGGCAAUGUUAAGCUGAAUACGGAUGGAUCAUUCGUGUCAGUUGGAGAGGCUGGUGCGGGUAUGAUCCUCAGGAAUGAGACAGGAGCUAUUAUCUUUUCGGCAUGCAGGAAAUUACAUUCGUGUCAAGAUACGUUGGAAGCAGAACUCUGUGCGUGCAAGGAGGGUCUCUCGAUUGCUGUUCAGAGGUGUAAUUCACCUAUUACCGUUGAGAUGGAUUCAAUCAAUGCGGUGAACUUAAUCCGCAGUAAGACGGUUGAUCGCUCCAUAUACGCUCACCUGGUGCAAGAGAUAAAACAGUUAGCUGGUACUGUUAGUGCUUGUAUUACUCACGUCCCCCGCUCUUGUAAUGCAGCUAGUGAUAGGCUGGCUUCUUAUGCCAGGAUUAGCAAUAGAACGGUGACUUGGUUGGUGUCCGGACCGCUUGAGGUCCUGGAUAUUGUUGGUGAGGAUUGUAAGAACUUUAUAACUGAGUAA
rnacentral:rRNA from 1 species